rnacentral:misc_RNA from 1 species
AACUCUCAACCCCCCUAUUUUUGUAAUGGAAAUAGGCUCGCGGGCUUGGAUGAUGGCUGCCUGUCGGCUCGGUCAAACGCGUCGGCUCAGCUGAAAUACACGAGCAACCCAGUUGAAAGAAUUCGGUGACGGCUUGACUCGGCGUAAUAACAUAUUUCGCUGAGGACGUCCGCCGGAUAGUUUCAAAGUCGUGGGAGCUUCUAACGCAAUGAUUUAAAGC